ACAAACUGUGUCUGGUGAAGGUGGUCUCUCCUCUCUCAUUAGGUCAUAGAUCUCUCUUAUCAUUACUCUGCCCUCUCCCCUCAUUGUGAAUAACAGUUGAGUAUAAAAGCUUUGGUGCACCUCCUCACUGGACCUGGCAACGCUCCUGAAGUCCAG